UACGAAGGGGGCUAGCGUUGCUCGGAAUCACUGGGCGUAAAGGGUGCGUAGGCGGGUCCUUAAGUCAGGGGUGAAAUCCUGGAGCUCAACUCCAGAACUGCCUUUGAUACUGAAGAUCUUGAGUUCGGGAGAGGUGAGUGGAACUGCGAGUGUAGAGGUGAAAUUCGUAGAUAUUCGCAAGAACACCAGUGGCGAAGGCGGCUCACUGGCCCGAUACUGACGCUGAGGCACGGAAAGCGUGGGGAGCAAACAGG
rnacentral:rRNA from 1 species